rnacentral:rRNA from 1 species
GACGAACGCUGGCGGCGUGCUUAACACAUGCAAGUCGAACGGAAAGGCCCUGCUUUUGUGGGGUUCUCGAGUGGCGAACGGGUGAGUAACACGUGAGUAACCUGCCCUUGACUUUGGGAUAACUUCAGGAAACUGGGGCUAAUACCGGAUAGGAGCUCCUGCUGCAUGGUGGGGGUUGGAAAGUUUCGGCGGUUGGGGAUGGACUCGCGGCUUAUCAGCUUGUUGGUGGGGUAGUUGCUUACCAAGGCUUUGACGGGUAGCCGGCCUGAGAGGGUGACCGGGCACAUUGGGCCUGAGAUACGGCCCAGAAGCCUACGGGAGGCAGCGGUGGGGAACAUUGCACAAUGGGCGGAAGCCUGAUGCAGAAACGCCGCGUGCGGGAUGACGGCUUUUGGGUUGUAAACCGAUUUCGCCUGUGACGAAGCGUGAGUGACGGUAAUGGGUAAAGAAGCACCGGCUAACUACGUG